UCCUGACAACAGAAACAGCAUUCUGUUUGUUUGUUUGCGCACGGGUCAGCUCAAGCCAACUGUUACUUUCUAUUCCGCUGAUGACGGCGAUUGCUACAGCAGUCGUAACAGUGAAGUCGCUCAGACAACGAUGCUUUCAGUUUUCAUUGCUUUUUCUACCUAGAGCCAUUACGCAGAAGCGCGAGUCACGUCCUCUGAUCGUACUGAGAUUUGUACCGUAACGCCGAACUGGCGACCAAAUAGGCAAAAUAGAUUGCUUUUAAGACUAUGGAUACUCAGAGAAACUUAACUGUUAACAGAAAAACACGACAACAUGUAUAAUUUUGCGGCAUUGUUCUGAAGGGAUAGUCUUCACCCGUUCAUAUAGGGUGCAUGCCGGUAUACGUGAUGAGGAUGUCAUCAGGUAGAAUCGAUUUCGAUGUACACUCAGGCGGCAGAGAGGCGGACGAAUAUGGAAAAAAUACAGCACAUGAUUCUCAGGAAAACUACACCUAUCGAGUGCAUCCGAACCUGCGACUAAUGUAGGCCGUCAAUCAACAGACGCCGACGGUUCGCGUAACUAUUCCACCGUUAAAUAUACAUACGAUGCGUAUCGACUGACAAAUGAGAGCGGCCUAGAGCUUAAUCAUAUCAAACUAGUACCUGCGCGCCAUAAUUAGAUAAGGCAUUGAAGGCCAGCGGCAGAAAUCACUACGCUAUAAACAAAGAUAUUGAAUAUCGCUCAAAGGAAGAGACUAAAGGCGGGUGCAUGUUCCCCUGCAGCAAAAAUGCGUCAUCAAAUUACGCCAAAGAGAUUUACAUCAUGUAUGUCAGCUUUCUGUACAGAGUAUUUAGUCGUGGGCUGGGUCAGACGCAGAGUCUAAGAUGUUUCGUCGUGGAUUUGAGGAAACGGAACCCGGCAAUAGCGUGAGUUACGCAUUGGUCACCGAUCGCCACCGCUACCCACUGAACAACCGAAAUUGGCCUUGUUAACAUGAAACUACUGUCCCGUCAUCAUGUAAACACCAUUAUGAGAACUGUGCGAAUAUUUAAGCCACUUCUUUAAUAAGCAGUUGUUUACACCUCCUGGAGACCUGAGAGUCUAUGCAAGAGUCGUUGUUUCAGUAAAAGACCUAACAGCCAAUAGGGGCGGAAGGACUUGUUGAACAAAGAUGUUGCUUAGCAAAAACGCACGAGCAACUCUUCAGUGCAUACGUUUAACAAACUCUAUGUGAGUGUCAGGCAAUCGUUUUUCUAGCCAUGAUCCUGAGACCGGCAUAGGAUCUGAUCUAGAAAAGGCCGCAUAGGCGGUCGAAAACACAAUAAGGCUAUUUAUCUUGUGAAGCCAAGCCAGUUAACUGAAGUGAGCGUCAAUAUCGUUUUCAAGACGAAAUACAUCUAGGCGUAAAAAACGUCUUUGGGAUAGGACGGGCAACGGCUCAGACCAUUGUUUAUCUCACAGAAUCCGAGAACUCUAUGAACACUAACAAAAUAAAGAUUUCGAAAAUGUAGAGUAUCGAUAGGACCGCUUAGGGUGGCAUCCAACCAUAUUAAUCGCAAACGCCAUUCUGCACGAUUUCCCGCCUCGCAUUAGGUGAGAGUAUAUAACUCAAAUGAUAAAUCAGACGAAACGAAGGUGCAAGUACUUGCAGGAAUUUUAUAGAUGAAAGGUCUCCACACAUUAUCGCUAUGUCAAGCUACUGCUGUACUCUUCUGGAACGAACACUCCGAACACACCAGGCAUCACCUCAAUCUCCGA
rnacentral:lncRNA from 1 species